GCGGUUCGGUUUAGUAUAAAACUGGUAAUUUUAAAACCGUUUAUAAACUGCUAAACCGGCUGAGAACUUGCCGGUUGGACCGAAUCGGUACCCCACCAGUCUCUCCCCUUUCAAGCUUUCCCUCAGGCAGAGCUCUUCCCAUUCUUCCUUGAAAACCCUAGCCUCCAUUGCGCCGCCAUUGGUCUCACCGCCGCCGCCUGGUUUGUCGUGGUCGUUCGCCAAAUCUCCUAGUUCGUCGUGCUCGAAGGCCUUCCCGUUCGCCUAACGCCAACGUCUCCAGGUCUUGCUCCAACGUUGUCCGUCCGUCGUGUUCGUCGCCAGAUCGCCAGCGUUCGUCGCCAGCUCCCCGUCGUCCGUCUCCAUCUCACCAGGGUUCGUUGCCAGCUUCCCGUCGUCCGUCGCCCGUCGCUCUCCCUCAAAUCUAUGGUCACUGCCCUCGCCGAAGGUGCAUUGAUUCUGGUCAAGGUUGGCAUGUACUUGGUUCUAUGAGUUUCAGUUCUUGGAGGUAGUGUCACAUGGCCGCAUAUGAUGAGAGAAAAGUUUGGGGAUGGUUGUUCGUGUCAAUUGGCUUUCUUUACUUUACCGUGUACUUCUUUAUCGCAAUUAUUUCCAAGGUUUUGCCUCCGUCAAAUAUUGCAGUGAUAUCUGCCAUGCAAAAUGAUUGGUAUUACUGCUUCUUAGUGCCGUUGACUCUCCCUAUAAUUGUGGUUCUUGUAUACUUCCAUUGGCUUAGCAUGAAGAUGUUCAAGCAUGCUUAACUUUUCGCCAGAUUUCUGCGGUGGAAUGAAAUGCUGGCCCAGCGGAGCAACAUGC